rnacentral:rRNA from 1 species
UGAGGAAUAUUGCGCAAUGGGGGAAACCCUGACGCAGCGACGCCGCGUGAGUGAUGAAGGCCUUCGGGUUGUAAAGCUCUGUCAGAGGGAAAGAAAGGGGUGUCGGAAUAAUACCCGACACCAUUGACGGUACCCUCGGAGGAAGCACCGGCUAACUCCGUGCCAGCAGCCGCGGUAAUACGGAGGGUGCAAGUGUUAUUCGGAAUCACUGGGCGUAAAGAGCACGUAGGCGGAUGUGUAAGUCAGAUGUGAAAUCCCGGGGCUUAACCUCGGAACUGCAUUUGAUACUGCGCGUCUUGAGUAUGGUAGAGGGGGAUGGAAUUCCCGGUGUAGAGGUGAAAUUCGUAGAUAUCGGGAGGAACACCAGAGGCGAAGGCGAUCCCCUGGGCCAUUACUGACGCUGAGGUGCGAAAGCGUGGGGAGCAAACAGG